rnacentral:rRNA from 1 species
CCCUUAGAUGUCCUGGGCUGCACGCGCGCUACACUGAUGUGUCCAGUAAGCACCUAACCUCUUCCGAAAGGAACGGGUAACCUUUGCAAAGCACAUCGUGAUGGGGAUAGAUUAUUGCAAUUAUUAGUCUUGAACGAGGAAUUCCUAGUAAGCACAAGUCAUCAGCUCGCGUUGAUUACGUCCCUGCCCUUUGUACACACCGCCCGUCGCUACUACCGAUUGAACGGUUUAGUGAGGGCCUCGGAUUGGUCUCGGCCCGCUCUUUACCGGGCGGCGCCGUUGGUCGAGAAGACGCUCGAACUUGAUCGUUUAGAGGAAGUAAAAGUCGUAACA